rnacentral:rRNA from 1 species
UACGUAGGGGGCGAGCGUUGUCCGAAGUUACUGGGCGUAAAGCGCGCGUAGGCGGACUCUUAAGUGAGGGGUGAAAGGUUCAGGGCUCAACCCGAACACUGCCUUUCAUACUGGGAGUCUUGAGUGCGGGAGAGGCGAGUGGAAUGGUCGGUGUAGCGGUGAAAUGCGUAGAUAUCGGGAGGAACACCUGUGGCGAAAGCGGCUCACUGGACCACAACUGACGCUGAUGCGCGAAAGCUAGGGGAGCAAACAGG